CCUGAGGAGAGGCUGGUCAGCUCGAGCCACCUCGGAUCCCUCACUGGGAACACUGCCAGGCGGGCCGGGAGGAGGCAGUGCAGCUGUCCCGACCACCCUCCAGUCCCGGGGCCUGACACCUGUCCUGCCAGCCAGAGGCGCCUCGUCUGAGUCUGCAGAACCACCAGGGUGACUCCAGGACCCCGGAACAGUUCCAGCGAGAAGCCCCAGCAUGAGCAAUGGUGCCCCCUCCUAAGUCUAGGGGCACGGGACUAGAUGUGGGCAGGGGUCCUGCUACCCCCGGGGACAAGUGAGUGCCAGCAUGGAGAUGGGGGUGAGCCGUCUGCCCUGCUCACUGCCCCCGGGGAUCGCCCGCUGUGUCUGGAGGCCAGGAGGGCCGGGGACACGUCUGGGGGCGCGAGCGCUCCUAGACACCUGGGACUGCCUGAGGGAGGAGGCCGGGCUUUAGCGCCUCUCACGGGUGAUGAAGAGAUGUUGACAACGUGCAAAGCUAAGCUGUAAACACGCUUCACAAUUUCUGCUCCUAAAAAUGACGUGUGGGGACCGGCUGUAAAGCCACCCUUAGGAACCAUCUCCAUCGGGCGGGCGGUGUUUUGACGAGCCAUUCUCCCAAACAGAACGGAAGCACCAUGACUCAGAAAUAAUUAGGGGCAUCUCUCGCCCAUGCCCUGGCUGACGCGCCCGAUGCUCUAUCUCUCCUCCGCCCCAGAAGCAAACUUCUGAAAGGACCCGGACUUCUGCCAAACAAGGACUUGAGAAGAGCGUGGUGCGACAGGCAGUGGAUGGAGGGUCAAGGAGAAAGGAACGUGGCUGCCCGAGUCCAGAGAGGAAAUGCAAGUCUGUCCGCAGGGAAGAGGCAGGAGGGCCUGGUACAGGCACCCCUCCACAGCCCCCACCCCCGGAGGCCCCCGGCCCGGCAAGGACUAAGAUGCCCCCAGUCCUGAGAUGCCGGCAACUGGCUGUUUCGGACUCUAGCUGACCUGGACCAAUGAGCAGCUGACAUCAAGGGGACAUCUGGGGCACCCAAGGGGGCAAGAGAGGCAGGAGGUGCCAGAGAGGAGCCCCCCCAGCUCAGGGCAGAGCCACCGAGCAGAAGGUGUGGGCUGGCCAGAGGCUGGGGUGCUGUGAAGGGACUUGGCUGGCCAGGGGUCCGGAACUUGCGGGUUCCACCCGAGCCCAGGGAGCCUGUUUCCUAUAUGACACCACUCAUGCCAUGCCGGGGCCAGAGCGCAGCCCCACCUCUGCCAUGACAACAUUCCUGUCCCCGAGCAGCACAGGCAAACGUCCCCGUCCACAGGAAUGUCAGACAGCACCAGGACCGGGACAGGUGUCCUGCUGCCUCCCUGAGGCGGGACUUUGGCAGAAAGGCCUACUCUGACAUUCCCCGCCCUGAGGUCUCCUCCGUCUCUCUUCCUGCCCCAGCUGUCCCCAGGGCUUCGUGAGGCCGAGUUCCUCCUGUUGCCCAAACCUGCACCUGUCAGGCCGCCCACUCACACACCUGCCAAGACUCCUGCCCCGCAGAGCGCCAGGGAUGGACCACGGCCUCCCCGGCCUCCCCGGCCUCCCUCCCUGCAGGGACACGCCCAGCCCCUGGCUGCCCUUUGAAGGGUCCCCUUCCCGGUCCAGACCUGUCAACACCCCUCUCCUACCUCAGUAGAGCACCUGAACUUAAAAAGAGCCACAAGGAGGCUGACUGGCUCCACACGCUCAUAAAAGCCAGGUGCGCAUCAGGGCACGCGUCGCCACCCCCACACGGGAGGGGACGGCCAACGUCAGACAGCAGGUCAGGACAGAGCUGGAGCAGCAAGUGCGUCCCGAGCUCCCCCAACCUGACCCAUCAGAGCCAACCACGGGUUAGGGAGCAGGACCGGGGGUGGUAGAAAAAUAGCAAAGGUUCCAGAAGGACCCGGGAAAAAACAGUCUGGGGCAGCAGCAGCAGGACACAGAACACCCAUCGAGGACUCUGAGUGUAGGCCGCACGCCUCCCCUCUCCUGGCAGGGCCCACUGCCUAGGGCUCGGCCCUCCUCAGCCAGGCCCUGCUUUCAGGCGAGCAGAGAGACAGGGUGGCAAGGGUCCCCAGCCUCCAGUGCUGACCACAGACAGCUGACGGGUGAGCAACAGCUGUGCGGAGAGCGACAUGAGGACAGCCACGGUGGGACCGUGCUGGCUUACCGACAAUGUCAGGCCUAAGGGGUCAGCACCAUCACUCAAACGCCUCUGGCCACCAUGGGCCAAACGCAGAGCACUGAGCACCCUUGUGGAGAAGGGCUCCAGGGGGAGGUGGCCCCACCAUCCCCAGCCAGGGGAGCAAGGGAAAGAGUCCCAGGUAUGUGUGACUGGGGGUCUUCCUGGGGGAAAGGGUGUGAGACAGGUGUGAGCCCUGUGACUUCUGGGCCACUCCCUGUGAUGACCUGAGGCAGCCCCUUUCCCAAGUCUACACGAUGAGGAUGAUGAAAGUGCCACCCCGUGAGGGUGCUGUGUCCCUUAACGAGACCACGUGUGUAGCCCAAGCAUGCACACAAUGCCACAAAGUCAGCCACUUCCAUGACAAGGCAGCAGGACCCCCCAGAGCCACCGGUUUGUGGGAUCCUGAGGAACUAUGUGUACACGGCAGGAGACAAGCCCUGAGGCAAGACGGGCCCUGAGGUUCCAAGAAAGGAGGGAACUCAACUGCGCGGGCUCCGGCCCGAGGCCGGGGAGAAGGCUGGGUCACCCAGGAGCACUGCCCAGCUCUUGGGGGCCGGGCCCAAACCCUCCCUCAUCCACCACCAGAUGGCAGCCCCCCCACCCAGCUGCACUCACCGGCUGUCAGGGGAGCCCCGGGUGGGCAGCACACACAUGCAUGGGUAUGUGCAGGGCGGGGGUGGGGGCUCACCUCCUGGCCCAGCAGCGCACCGGCAGCAGGGGCUGCGGGCGAGGCCUCCUGGGUGGCCCGCUGGCACACCUUCUGGAGCUUGUGCUGAACAAAGUCUUCCAAGGCAGUGAACUCCGCCUGGCAGCGGCCACAUCUGUGCACGUCGUCCUCAUCUGCAAAGAACCUGUGGUCACUGGGAGGCCUCCAGGCCCGGGUGCCAUCAGCAGCAGAGGCACCUGCCCCAGCCUCCCAUGGAGGCCCGGGGUGCCAGCCCCCAUCCUCCGGAGGUCUGCAGAGAGACACCCAUAGCAGGGAGGGCAGCACCCAGCAGGCAGUGGCCCCGCCCAUACAGGUCCUUGUUCUCCUGAAGACACUCGGGGGGAAACUUCCCAGAGGGGCUCCAACCCCCAGGAACAUCACACCUGAGCCCCUCACCAUGUAGGCUGACCAGCCAGUGGCUGCCCCAGGUCCUAUGGAAGAGACUUCCCACUCACUGAGUCCCUACUGGGUGCCAGACACCUCAUUGGGGAUGUCACUGAGUCCAGCCAGCACCCUGGGGAAAUAAAGAUGACUAUUCUCAUUCCAGAAAGAUGACUUGAGAUUCAAGGCCACCCCGCUGCCCUGGGAGGCAGCACAGCCCAGAAGUUAGGGGACCUGGCAGAGGAGUCACACAGUCUCGCUACUUGCUCCCUGGGGGACCUGGCCGCUUUGACAUCUUUGGACCUCAACAACAACAGUAGGAGCCUCCAGAGUUGGUUGUAAGAUGAAAGCGCCCAAUGCAGGGUAAGUGCUUAACACGUUAUUAGCAGCAGCAGCCCCUCCCCAUUCUGUAGGGAAAGGGAAGCUCACCGGCUCAGGGUCAACCAGCCAGAGAGCAGCAGAUCCGGGCCGGAGCUCGCAGGCUGGUUGCAGAGCACCGGCUCCGCACCACCGGGCCCUGCGGCCGCCCCAGGGGCGAGCUCGGAGCCGGGACCCCCGGAGCCCCGCCCCCGGCAGCCUCCAGCCCCACCCCAGCCAGGGCUCUAGAGGCCCGUCAGAUGCCAUGGAAGAGGGCCCAGAGGAGAGCAGGGCCGUGCCCAUACAGGCGAAGACGGGCCGGACCGCGAGCCUGAGGGGCAAGGCUGGCCGUGGAGGCAAUGGCAGAGGCCUCCACGGGCAGCCCCAGAGGCCUGGCCACCUGUGAAUAUCCGUGAGUGGGCACCGAGGCCCGCGGGGUGACAGGCGCCCCGCAGGAGAGGCCUGAGGGUCUGAGGAAGCCUGGGGGGCUCGUGGAGGGCUACGCAGGACUCCCUUGGGGACCCGGGAGGUCCGCAGGGAACCGGGGUCUGGGACCGCCUGUCGCGUCCGCAGCUCAGGCCAUCGGGGCCUCCUCCAGCCAGGACUGAGUCGUCCACAUCCCGGCCGCGCCCGACCCCGUCAGGCCCCGUCAGGCCCUGUUACCUUCCUC